CGUCCCUGCUACCUCUAACAGACAACAGAAUAGUGGCUAAAGGAUUGUAUCUUCUCAAACAAAACAGGUUCUCACAAAUGAUCUUCAUCUACGCUGCUACUUGAUGCAGGAAGAGCAUCAGAUGGGUCUCUUGGUUGGCACCAGUCUCUCAGGAAGGUGCCGCCUUGAACCUGAAGACUCUGCGGGCUCCUGUUUCCACCUACAUCCCCAUCACCAAGGUGGAAGGCUUCUUGGACCAGGGUUUCAGCCUGGUCCCUCCGCUGGAGUCCAACCUCACGCCGUUCUUCGAUGUGAAGUCAGCUCAGGCGGCGACCGCACAGCGCCCCCUUCUGGCCUCUCUGGGACCGCAGUGGGUGGCCCGUCUCGCUGACUUAGCCCACCAAUGCACCGUCCAGAACUCAGCCUCCACCAACAACACGGCGCUGAUUGCUUCCUCCUUCACGAAGCUAGCGGCCAACUCCACCACCGUGACGGAGGAAGAAAAGGAGAAGAUCAGCAAAGGGGCCAGUGUACAGCUCACAGAGUGCGCCGCUGCGGUCAUCUUCGCUGUCCGGAUACGUGUCUAGCUAACCCAGAUUCACCGUAUUCUGUGACUUCUGCA